UUGAAUCACCUUGAGCUGAGUAUUAGUGAUUCUUAAAGGCUGAUUUUCUGAUGUGCUUCAACCUGAUAUGAAGUAAAGUUCAAGUGUGGAUUCUAAACUUGGUACUUGGAAGCUAAGGAAUAUCUUCGCUCGUGGGAUCGACAAGAGUCGACAGCAAUUAGCUUGCGAUGUCAAAGAUGUACUCUAUGGCGGCCGAGGCGAUCGAGCCGGAGAAACUUGCACCCUCCCACUCUGGUGAGGUUCGGGAAUUAAAGGAGUAGUUGGCUACUUUAGUUGGAGUGGUGGAGCGACAGUCUAAUGUGGCGCUACUUUAAGCAGAGGCUUUGCGCCGACAGGAUGAGAAAAUCAGACGGUUGGAAAACCUGUUGAUUCAGCAGACGGCAGACUUCAAGAGAUUUCAUGAGGUUUUAGAUCGCACCUUAACGGUGAGAAAAGGUGUAGAGGUUACUAAGAUGACAAAGGAGACCCCUAAGAGUCAGCAGUUGUACGUUAGGGAAUCAUCAAGAAAGUAAAGAAGAAUUGACUUCGAGGAUGUGGUUCUUUUGCUGGACGAAGAAUGUCGAGUCGUCGACCGCCACGGCGAUGAGUGAUUUGUGAACGUCCGCAUGUACCCCCAAAGUGCCCUCAGCAGAGAGGAAAGUGUUUUCUAUGUGGUCAGGAGGGCCAUUUUCGAUCAAAGUGUCCAUGGAAUAAUAUAUUAAAGAAAGCAUUUGCACUGACUGUGUCGUGAGAGGCACCAA